UACGUAGGGGGCUAGCGUUGUUCGGAUUCAUUGGGCGUAAAGGGUGCGUAGGUGGCGCGCUAAGUCAGGUGUGAAAUUUCGGAGCUCAACUCCGAAACUGCAUUUGAUACUGGCGUGCUUGAGGACUGGAGAGGAGACUGGAAUUCACGGUGUAGCAGUGAAAUGCGUAGAUAUCGGGAGGAAGACCAGUGGCGAAGGCGGGUCUCUGGACAGUACCUGACACUGAGGCACGAAGGCCAGGGGAGCAAACGGG
rnacentral:rRNA from 1 species